rnacentral:rRNA from 1 species
UACGGGGGGGGCAAGCGUUGUUCGGAAUUACUGGGCGUAAAGGGCUCGUAGGCGGCCAACUAAGUCAGACGUGAAAUCCCUCGGCUUAACCGGGGAACUGCGUCUGAUACUGGAUGGCUUGAGUUUGGGAGAGGGAUGCGGAAUUCCAGGUGUAGCGGUGAAAUGCGUAGAUAUCGCCUGGAAUGCCGAAGGUGAAAACAGGUCUGCUGGGGGCGCACCGACGCGUGGAGACACGAAAGCCAGGGGAGCGAACGGG